AGCGAACGCUGGCGGCAGGCUUAACACAUGCAAGUCGAGCGGGCAUCCUUGUGGUGUCAGCGGCAGACGGGUGAGUAACACGUGGGAACGUGCCCUUCGGUUCGGAAUAACUCAGGGAAACUUGAGCUAAUACCGGAUACGCCCUUAUGGGGAAAGGUUUACUGCCGAAGGAUCGGCCCGCGUCUGAUUAGCUAGUUGGUGGGGUAACGGCCUACCAAGGCGACGAUCAGUAGCUGGUCUGAGAGGAUGAUCAGCCACACUGGGACUGAGACACGGCCCAGACUCCUACGGGAGGCAGCAGUGGGGAAUAUUGGACAAUGGGCGCAAGCCUGAUCCAGCCAUGCCGCGUGAGUGAUGAAGGCCUUAGGGUUGUAAAGCUCUUUUGUCCGGGACGAUAAUGACGGUACCGGAAGAAUAAGCCCCGGCUAACUUCGUGCCAGCAGCCGCGGUAA
rnacentral:rRNA from 1 species